rnacentral:rRNA from 1 species
GGAGGAAAAGAAACCAACAGGGAUUCCCCUUGUAAGUGCGACCGAACAGGGAGGAGCCCAGCGUGUAGCCUCGAACCUCCAUUCCCGGGGGCAAGAGGGAUGCCACGUUCCGGAGGGUCUCCUUCUAGGGUCCCGGCGCAGCUAAGUCCGCUUGAACGCGGCCACUACCCAUGGAGGGUGCGAGGCCCGUAUGCUUUGUCGCCGGGGCCUUGGAACGGCCCUUCCGUAUAGUCGGGUUGCUUGAAACUGCAGCCCAAAGCAGGUGGUAAACUCCAUCUAAGGGUAA